UGGUUUUUUUUAUGGCUAUACAACUUCUCUAUUCUGUAUAGGCGAUGUUUCUACAUAGAUUCUAAUGUCGUUGUCAAGCAAGUGGACAGGUGAACAGU